rnacentral:rRNA from 1 species
UACGGGGGGAGCAAGCGUUGUUCGGAUUUACUGGGCGUAAAGGGCGCGUAGGCGGUCACUACAAGUCAGUUGUGAAAUCUCUGGGCUUAACUCAGAACGGUCAACUGAUACUGUUGGACUAGAGUGCAGAAGGGGCAACUGGAAUUCUCGGUGUAGCGGUGAAAUGCGUAGAUAUCGAGAGGAACACCUGCGGCGAAGGCGGGUUGCUGGGCUGACACUGACGCUGAGGCGCGAAAGCUAGGGGAGCGAACGGG